AUCCGUUUUCUAUAAAUACCUAAAGCGAAGCCUAUUGUUUCCUCUCGUUCCCUUUUCCAGAGGCAAAUCCUUUUGAGGUUGCAUUCUGAUCGAAGAUGAGAGCCAAGUGGAAGAAGAAGCGCAUGAGGAGGCUUAAGAGGAAGAGGAGAAAGAUGAGACAGAGAUCAAAGUAGAGAGCCAAGGGCAUGCAUCAGCUGUUCUUGCUUCUGAUAUAAGACAGUAAUCUUUGUCUCUCUUGGGAAUUUAUCGAUAUCCUGACCGGGUUGAGGAUUCUCCGUUGUCUUUCUGGGCAAGUUGUGCUGAAUCCAUGCUCUAGCUUUUAGGUCUGUCUGGUUUUGGAACUUGGAGGCCGUUUGCUUUCGUUUCUUGGUAAUUUCUAUUCGGUUUGUGUUGAAGUUUUCGGCCUUGCCGACAUGUUACUGCAAUAUAUUCUUCUACAUGGAGAUCCUGUCCAAUACAUGUUCCAUCAAUUUUACUCGCUUGGCUUUGCA